GAGUAAUGUCUGGGAAACUGCCUGAUGGAGGGGGAUAACUACUGGAAACGGUAGCUAAUACCGCAUAACGUCGCAAGACCAAAGAGGGGGACCUUCGGGCCUCUUGCCAUCGGAUGUGCCCAGAUGGGAUUAGCUAGUAGGUGGGGUAAAGGCUCACCUAGGCGACGAUCCCUAGCUGGUCUGAGAGGAUGACCAGCCACACUGGAACUGAGACACGGUCCAGACUCCUACGGGAGGCAGCAUG
rnacentral:rRNA from 1 species